rnacentral:rRNA from 1 species
UAGGGAAUCUUCCACAAUGGACGCAAGUCUGAUGGAGCAACGCCGCGUGAGUGAAGAAGGUUUUCGGACCGUAAAGCUCUGUUGUUGGUGAAGAAGGAUAGAGGUAGUAACUGGCCUUUAUUUGACGGUAAUCAACCAGAAAGUCACGGCUAACUACGUGCCAGCAGCCGCGGUAAUCGUAGGUGGCAAGCGUUGUCCGGAUUUAUUGGGCGUAAAGCGAGCGCAGGCGGAAGAAUAAGUCUGAUGUGAAAGCCCUCGGCUUAACCGAGGAAUUGCAUCGGAAACUGUUUUCUUGAGUGCAGAAGAGGAGAGUAGAACUCCAUGUGUAGCGGUGGAAUGCGUAGAUAUAUGGAAGAAUACCAGUGGCGAAGGCGGCUCUCUGGUCUGCAACUGACGCUGAGGCUCGAAAAGCAUGGGUAGCGAACAGGAUUAGAUACCCUGGUAGUCCAUGCCGUAAAACGAUGAGUGCUAAGUGUUGGGAGGCUUCCGCCUCUCAGUGCUGCAGCUAACGCAUUAAGCACUCCGCCUGGGGGAGUACGACCG